UGAUAGUCGAAACAUAUCAUUUUAUUAGAAGUGAAAAAGUCUCAACUCCCAUUUUAUGUGUCUGCUGCAGGUAUUUCUAUAGUUUACCUUACCUAUUGUGGCGAACACCCUUUCCCACAUUGCUACGUAUAUUUUUGUUUAUAGGGGUUGAAAUUUGCUGGAAUAUCUAUCCUUCAAAUGCUUAUUCAUCUGCACUGCUUCUCUGUCUCCAUCUUGUUAUACUGUGGGGUCUUUGGUCUGCCCCAUCUGAAUAUCCUUAUGUGGACCAUAAAGCACACAAAGAGAAACGAAAGGAAAAGUAGAUUUAUACCCCCCUUAGCUGAAUUUUGAUUGUCUUUAAACUCUUACACAAUUUUUCCAUGACUGUAAAAGAGCAGGUUGAGUUUUCUUUUCUGGCCGUAACUGGUUUCUUGUUCUAAGAUUGAAGAAUGUUCAAUCAGCCAUCUAUACUAUGAAUGCUAAAUACCAUUUUUUAGGUUGCAAGAAAGCUUGCUAUUUUAUUUUAUAUAUUUCAACAAAUUUUUAUGAAAUUGUUUAUGCUUCACUUUCCCUA